GAUGAACGCUGGCGGCGUGCUUAACACAUGCAAGUCGAACGAUGAAGCCCAGCUUGCUGGGCGGAUUAGUGGCGAACGGGUGAGUAACACGUGAGUAACCUGCCCUUGACUCUGGGAUAAGCCCGGGAAACUGGGUCUAAUACCGGAUAGGAGCGCCUGUCGCAUGACGGGUGCUGGAAAGAUCUUUCGGUCAUGGAUGGACUCGCGGCCUAUCAGCUUGUUGGUGAGGUAACGGCUCACCAAGGCGACGACGGGUAGCCGGCCUGAGAGGGUGACCGGCCACACUGGGACUGAGACACGGCCCAGACUCCUACGGGAGGCAGCAGUGGGGAAUAUUGCACAAUGGGCGAAAGCCUGAUGCAGCGACGCCGCGUGAGGGAUGACGGCCUUCGGGUUGUAAACCUCUUUCAGUAGGGAAGAAGCGAAAGUGACGUACCUGCAGAAGAGCCCCGG
rnacentral:rRNA from 1 species